GAUGAACGCUGGCGGCGUGCUUAACACAUGCAAGUCGAACGGGAUCCCGGGGGUUCGCUCCCGGGUGAGAGUGGCGAACGGGUGAGUAAUGCGUGACCGACCUGCCCCAUACACCGGAAUAGCUCCUGGAAACGGGUGGUAAUGCCGGAUGCUCCGGUUGGAUGCAUGUCCUUCCGGGAAAGAUUCCAUCGGUAUGGGAUGGGGUCGCGUCCUAUCAGCUUGAUGGCGGGGUAACGGCCCACCAUGGCUUCGACGGGUAGCCGGCCUGAGAGGGCGACCGGCCACAUUGGGACUGAGAUACGGCCCAGACUCCUACGGGAGGCAGCAGUGGGGAAUAUUGCACAAUGGGCGCAAGCCUGAUGCAGCGACGCCGCGUGCGGGAUGGAGGCCUUCGGGUUGUAAACCGCUUUUGAUCGGGAGCAAGCCCUUCGGGGUGAGUGUACCUUUCGAAUAAGCAC
rnacentral:rRNA from 1 species